rnacentral:tRNA from 1 species
GGUUCUGUAGUGUAGUGGUUAUCACUUGAGAUUCUGAUUCGUCAGUUAACAAUUCUCAAGACCCCGGUUCGAUCCCGGGCAGGACCU